AGAGUUUGAUCCUGGCUCAGAGCGAACGCUGGCGGUAUGCUUAACACAUGCAAGUCGAACGGCAGCACGGGGAGCUUGCUCCCUGGUGGCGAGUGGCGGACGGGUGAGGAAUACGUAGGAAUCUACCCUUGGAGUUUGGGACAACUCACGGAAACGUGGGCUAAUACCAAAUGUGCUCUACGGAGGAAAGGUGGCCUCUAUUUAUAUGCUAUCGCUCUAGGAUGAGCCUACGUCGGAUUAGCUUGUUGGUGAGGUAAAAGCUCACCAAGGCGACGAUCCGUAGCUGGUCUGAGAGGAUGAUCAGCCACACUGGGACUGAGACACGGCCCAGACUCCUACGGGAGGCAGCAGUGGGGAAUAUUGGACAAUGGGGGCAACCCUGAUCCAGCGAUGCCGCGUGUGUGAAGAAGGCCUGCGGGUUGUAAAGCACUUUAGUUGGGGAGGAAAGCCUGAGCGUUAAUACCGCUCAGGGAUGACGUUACCCAAAGAAUAAGCACCGGCUAACUCUGUGCCAGCAGCCGCGGUAAUACAGAGGGUGCGAGCGUUAAUCGGAAUUACUGGGCGUAAAGGGUGCGUAGGUGGAUGAAUAAGUCAGCUGUGAAAGCCCUGGGCUCAACCUGGGAACUGCAGUUGAUACUGUUUGUCUAGAGUCGAAUAGAGGGGAGCGGAAUUUCCGGUGUAGCGGUGAAAUGCGUAGAUAUCGGAAGGAACACCAGUGGCGAAGGCGGCUCCCUGGAUUCAGACUGACACUGAGGCACGAAAGCGUGGGUAGCGAACGGGAUUAGAUACCCCGGUAGUCCACGCCGUAAACGAUGAGUACUAGCUGUUGGCAGGCAAGACCUGUCAGUAGCGCAGCUAACGCAAUAAGUACUCCGCCUGGGGACUACGGCCGCAAGGCUAAAACUCAAAGAAAUUGACGGGGGCCCGCACAAGCGGUGGAGCAUGUGGUUUAAUUCGAUGCAACGCGAAGAACCUUACCUACCCUUGACAUCUAUGGAAUCCUGCAGAGAUGCGGGAGUGCCUUCGGGAAUCAUAAGACAGGUGCUGCAUGGCUGUCGUCAGCUCGUGUCGUGAGAUGUUGGGUUAAGUCCCGUAACGAGCGCAACCCUUGUACCUAGUUACCAUCAUUUAGUUGGGGACUCUAGGUAGACUGCCGGUGAUAAACCGGAGGAAGGUGGGGAUGACGUCAAGUCCUCAUGGCCCUUAUGGGUAGGGCUACACACGUGCUACAAUGGGCAGAACAAAGGGCAGCGAAGCAGUAAUGUGGAGCGAAUCUCAGAAAACUGUUCGUAGUCCGGAUAAGAGUCUGCAACUCGACUCUUUGAAGUUGGAAUCGCUAGUAAUCGCGGAUCAGAAUGCCGCGGUGAAUACGUUCCCGGGCCUUGUACACACCGCCCGUCACACCAUGGGAGUGGGUUGUACCAGAAGUGGCUAGUCUAACCUUCGGGAGGACGGUCCCCACGGUAUGGUUCAUGACUGGGGUGAAGUCGUAACAAGGUAACC
rnacentral:rRNA from 1 species